UUCGUGGUUCGUGCGUCUUGUUUUGUAAAUAUACCAUCAAAACGUUUCGAUAGUGCACCUACGACACCGUCAGCAAGACCUUACCCCGUGAUCGUGACUGAAUACCCUGAGCGUCUGCAGCUGCACAGGAUCCGCAGAGCUGCUGGCGCUUGUGUCACGUGAUGCUUGCUUCUACUAGUUCAAGGCGUGUGGAAGCGGGUGGGGUUUUGUACCUGUCUCUACCUUUACCUUAGUGCUCCUGUACGUAAAUACAUGUGUCGGGGAUCGUGCUGAACACGGAACAGCAGUACAAAGAACUCUAGCGACCAAAAUUCUUGCUGGUUACUCCUCACGUCGUGAAGGACAACAGAGGCUGCUCUACGAACGGAAGAUCGUUUUUCUACAGAGAUUAAAGAUGACCGUGUCUAAAAUCGUUCCCAAGAACAAGGCUCCUGGGGUGGAUUUCUGUGGAGUGAAGCAGUACUAUUACAUCAUCCGAUCUGACCUCGGCUGCUACAUGAGAUCUAGCAACUUCCAUGAAGGAAGAGACCUGUCUGUGUUCAGCCUGCAUCAGUCCUGCCGUGGAGGAGACUUCUACCUGGCUCACCAGGAUGAUCUCUUCUACAUCAUCAAAGGGACAUGAACGCACUGCUGUAAAGUUAUUGUAUAAUGUCUCUGUUCCUAAUUUGUUGUUUUCAAGGUGAUUGGAAUGUGAAACCAAUGGAAACAAAUGCUGAGAUGUGUUAAAAAAAAAAUCUAACUCUUAUUGUACUGAAAUCAAUAAAAAGAUAAAUAAGCUGCA